GACCUAGGAUUUAACUGCCAACCUCGAUAUGAUCAUCCAUAUUAUAUUUUAAUUUUCAAAAUUCAUCACAUGUAUUAGUCUGACCAAGGUUUUACUGAAUUAAAACACACUGAUACAUUAACUCCUACUUAUUCGGAGGGGCCAAUUCCAUCUUGACUCACAUACCAACUUCGCAAGUCCUUGACUAUGUCCAAAAACCUUUCAUUACUAAAUUAAAAAUUUAGGUAGUCCGACACCAAAGCAUAGUGAGUUGCUUGCAAGUCACCAUGGUGAUCUCAGAUCGGAGGGACAUUUAUAUCCAUAUCCUUCG
rnacentral:lncRNA from 1 species